rnacentral:rRNA from 1 species
UACGUAGGCAGCAAGCGUUGUUCGGAGUUACUGGGGGUAAAGGGGGUGUAGGCGGUUCUUUAAGUUUGGGGGGAAAUCUCCCGGCUCAACCGGGAGGGUGCGCCGAAUACUGAGGGACUAGAGUGUGGGAGAGGAAAGUGGAAUUCCUGGUGUAGCGGUGAAAUGCGUAGAUAUCAGGAGGAACACCGGUGGUGUAGACGGCUUUCUGGACCAUAACUGACGCUGAGACACGAAAGCGUGGGUAGCAAACAGG